rnacentral:lncRNA from 1 species
ACCCGUGGCAUAUGGAGAUUCCCAGGCUAGCGGUCGAACUGGAGCUACAGCUGCCGGCCUACGCCACAGCCACAGCAGCAUAGGAUCCAAGCCGCCUCUGUGACCUACACCACGGUUCACGGCAACGCCAGAUCCUUCAUCCACUGAGCAAGGCCAGGGAUCGAACCCACGUCUUCACAGAUACUCAUUGGGGUCAUUAACCACUGAGCCACGACAGGAACUCCUCACUGCCUUUGGAUACUGGUUACCCUAGUCCCAUCAACCUGCCAGCACCACUCAGGUCCACCUCCUCCUGGAAGUUUCCCAGGCUCCCAGCUCAGCACAAGCACACCUCGGAGGCCCCGAGAGCCCUUGUUGGUGUCUGAGUGUCACCUGCCUGCUGCGUUAAAAUCCCUGCUCCUCCACUGACCAGUUUGAUGGUCCUGUGUGAGAUGCUCACUCACACAAAGCAUCCCGUAAUGUGAGGCUAAUCAAAGCACUUAGCACACCAGGCAGAUGUGAGCGAUGAAUGAAAUGCUUGGAGACCAUUUAGCACAGUGCCUGUCUCCUCCUUAAAUGGGUGGAGUCCUGCUGUGCCCACUUCAUACGCUGUAGGCAGGGUGACAGCUGACGGUCCCUGUGCUGGGGGCUCACGGGGAAGGCACAAGGGCUGCUCACUAGGUGGGCCAUGGGCACAUCCUUGAGGAUCAACCAGACCCUUGGCUGCCCCUUCGCUGAGAGUCCCUGGGGGGUAGGAGUCUCACCCUUUUCCAGGAUCUCCUUGUGCCAAGGGGUCCCUUGCUUACUGCGUAUAUUGAGGGUGGACUGGGUGCAGGGGAGUGCGGAUCGGGAGGACAGCCAGCUCUCAGUGGGUCAGCUUCCCAUUAUGCAGCAUCUGGGGUGGGCCUCUCUUGACCAGGAGUGGGGAGAGGCUGAGAUCACCAGCUGAAUCACUGGGGAUCUUCCUAGAACAUAGCUCUGGGUUGGCCUGAGAUUCUGCAUUUCUAACAAGCUCUGGGCGACACUGAUGUGGCUGUGGCUGGUUAUACUUGAGGGACCUAAAACCUGGCACAGCCAUUUCUGAGAAGAGCAGAGACUAACAAGGGCACCUCAGCCUCCCACUGGUCCUGGAGGGACCCAGCCCUGCCCAGCCACACCCUCACUGCCAACAUCUGGAGGGCAAGGCUACACGGAUUUUCUGAGUUUCCAGGAUUCCAUUUCCAUUACAUGUAUAAAAGAAAAGUAGUACCACAUUAUACAAACAGUGGAAAGUAUGAAAAAAUAAUAGGGAAAAAAAGUCACUGAUAAUCUCAUACCGCAUUUAGAACAACUGUUAACCUCUCUCGCCAGGAUUCCAAAGCCAUGUCUGUCAGAGAGUCAGGGGUCGUCUGGGGAGUGGGGUCUGCCCCAGGAGCCCCACCCCGUGAUGGUGGAGCCCUGUUUAAGGGACAGCAGCUGCUCACGACCCCUUUGAUUUCCUGGCCCCCUUACCACCCCAAGGGAGUGAUGCCCAGCCCGUGGUGCCUGAGACUUUCACCCAGACCUGUUCUGAGGGCACAGGUGAGGGGCCGGGCCCUCCCCUCUCCCACAGGCAGCAGGCUGAGGCCCAAGUGCUGCUGCAGAAGAGGCAGAGGUGGAGUCUGGGGGAGGGGGUGCACAUCUGGAUUCCUGGCCCAGAGCCUGCAUUCCUUCCCUGUGAGUGUGAGGUGAUGGGCUCUAGGGAGAGCUGUGAGGAGGCUGCCAGCCCCCUUCUGCCCCACCGUAAUAGGACCCACCUUGGCAGGAAAACUGGUGGGGACUCCAAGGCCCAGAACCACAUUCUGGGGUCCCCCACCCAGUCUACGCUCAAACCAGUGCAGGCCCAACCUGGGGCUCUGUCCCCUCCACACCAGCCAGCCUUGCCUCAGAAAAACCACAGGGGACAGAAAAGUGGAGACCCGUGGCCAGGGGGCCACGCCCUCAUGGAAGAAACCCCGGGGGCUGCUCUGUCUGCUCUACCCAUGGAGGCUGGUCCACAGGUCAGUAGGGGGCCGGGCUGCCUUACCUGGGGGCAGUCCUUAAUGUAGUGUCCUUUGUUGAAGCACAGGUGGCACAGGUAGUUGGGUGGGGGCCGCUUGCUGGGCUUGCGGGUCUCAGAGGUGAGGGUCAGGUCAGAGAAGUGCUCUGUGAGGGAGCUGAGGCCGUCGGCGAUGUUGUUGAGGGAGCCAUAGGGAGAGGCACUCUUGUACACGCUGCUGCUCAGCGCCUGCAGGGGACAGAGGUUGCCCGUACAUGCACGCGCGCGCGCGCGCGCACACACACACACACACACACGCACAAAUUCAUAAUGACCUUUUAGUCACCUGCAGGCUCUGGCUUCCUGGGGUCUGCAUUCAAAUCCUAACUCUUGUUGUGCAUCCAUGGACAAGCCAGUUAACACUCAGGGCCUCCGUGGCCCCAUCUGGUAAGUGGGAAUAAUGACAGCUACCUACAAGGGUUUCUAGGAGGCUAACGAGAGGUUACAAAUGUGAAGCACUUGAUUUCCCACCUGGCACUGAGGAAGCCCUCAGUCAAUGGUGCUGAUCACCAGUUCUUUAGACACUGCCAGGAGGGAAGAAGCCCGACAAAGAGCAACCUGUGAGAGCUGGGCCUCUGCCACGUCCCAGGGGAGUGGCUUUAGACAUCAGCUCCCAGCAUGGUUGCAGAGUCCAGAAGAAGAGACUGAAGCCCAGCGUUUUGCCUGGUCUCCUGCAGCCCGAGGCCUGUGCACACUGUGUCCGGGGAGCCCUCGGGCCAGCCCAGGCCAGCCCCCUGGAAGCCCGGGGAGGAAGCGGCCCACCUCUCUCACCUCUCCCACCUCCAGUUGACAGGAACCAGAUGUCUUGCCUGGCUUCAAAGCAGACACGGCCCAGGCCCCCUCCUGGUGUAUACAGCCUCUAUUUAUAGGAGUCACGGGCUCUGAGCGGCCAGGCACACUGGAAUUUAGCAAAGGUGGGGCCUGCAGUGAGGCCAGCAGGGAACGUCUGUGGGCCCCCUCUCCCGGGGCCAGGCUCAGGCUAGAAAGAGGCAGCUUCCCCAGGGGGCCACUGACAAACCUGGGCACAGGGUUUGGGCAUACCUGUCCCCAGCGCAGGUGCCCAAGAAUCCAGCAGGGAAUUACAGACCUUGGGGAACCUUGGAGAGAUACCCUGGCCUUGUUCUUGGGGGGUCCCCAGGCUCACAGGGGAGAACCCCCAAAAGGAAGCUGCCUCAAGUUUCUGACCCAGGAUCCCCAGGUGGGGACAGUUCUUUCUGUGUCCUCUCAGUGUGGGGAGGGAGGUGAGCUGAAAGCUGACCCAAGGGGAUCAGACACCCUUCCUCCAACCAGGACAGAUCCCACCCCCCAGCCUCCUGACUCUGGGGGGCUGGCACUCUCCCUUCCUCUUCUUGGCUCCCUGGAGACCUUGCUAUGUGACACUAGGCCAGCCCUUUACCCCUCUGGGUCUCUGUUCCCUCUCGUGUAGGUCUGGACCACGGCCUGGAAUCUGGAAGGAAAGACAGAUACAUCACAUCCAGGGCAGUUCAGGCCUAACACACAGUCAGCCUGUAGUGACCAGGCACGGAAGGCAAAGGCUUUAAUGAUCAGCUCUGCUCUACCACGCCCAGUGCUACUGAGAAACCCAGGGCCUGCGCAAAAUCCUACAGACCUGCAUCCAGUCUGAGGGCAGCCACUUCAGCUCUCAGAUGGCCCCAGAAGACGGAUCCAUCCAGAGAGGGCUCACCCAUCCCUGGAGGUAAGUCAGUCAAGACUGGACAACCUUAAGGGGCCUGAGGAGGGUCUGAAAGGAAAUAGGAUUAAAUAAGAGCACCAUAUACUGAGCUCUUACGAGGUCCCAGGUACUGGGAAUGUUACGUGUAUUAAGAGAGCUGAUGCUCACCACAGCCCUAUGAGUCAUUGUUCCCAUUUUACAGAUUAAACGAGUUUAUCCAAACUUGUAUUAAAUGACCUGGGAAACUUUGAACAAAUAGUUUUCUGGGCUCUACCUCAGACCUACCAAAGUAGCCACCUGGGACUGAGGGCCUGGCAUCGGCAUUAUUUCAUCGUGGUAAGAUAUAAUUACAUAAGACCUAUCCUUUUAAUGAUUUUUAAGUGUGCAGUUCAGUGGCAUUAAGUGCAUUCCCGUUAUUAUUGUACAACCAUCGCCACCAUCCAUCUCUAGCAAUUUUUCAUCAUUCCAAACUGAAAUGCAAUCUCCAUUAAAUACUAACUCCACAUUCCCCCUUCCCCCAAGGCCUAAUUCUGCAUUUUAAAGCUCCCUCGGGGCAGCUCGGGUACAACCUGCUCAGCCCAACCUGGCCUUGGAAGCACCUGGACGUUCCAACCAUCAGGGUCUCUCCCCAAUCAAACUGGUCUGGAGGAGGGCACUGUGGCCCCAGCCUCCCAGAGAAAAGUUCAUCCAAACAAGAAACUUGAAGCUCCAAAGGGUGUGACUCACCCUCAUGGCUGGGAAAUGCAAUUUCACAAAUAACAACCCUCUUAUUUUUCUCUUUUCUUUCUUUCUUUCUUGCCUUUUUUUUUUUUUUUUUUCCCCCUGCAUAAGAUGUAAGCAAGUCUACAGGAAUCAGGGCUGUUUUGGCAGCAGAUUGUCAAGAGGAAGGGGAAGUUUGGUGGGUGCCAGAAAGUGCACUAAUUACACCCUGAAAAACCUCUCCCAGGUCUUGUGGCCACACACCCCUGCCCAUGAGCAGCCCGUGGGUAUCCCAGGACCGCCAGAGGCCUCGGAGCAGCCUGUCCUCACCCUGACAGCUUGAUUCCCACCACCACCUCAGAGGGUCACAGCUUUGUCCCUCAGGAGAGUCACACAGGCAGCUGCAGGUCUGAGAAGCAGGGCUAGAGCUCACUGCCUCUCCCCAUUCAGUCUGCUCUGGCCUGGCCCCACGGCUGCUCCUGCUCCCUUCCCCCACCCCCAAUUCAAGACGACACCACGAAAGGAUGAAAGGACAGGGCAGUCAGCCGACCGACCUCACUCUCGAAAGCUACAAUAGAGAAACUGAGGCCCAGCGAGCCCCAGGGGCACAGACCAGGGCACAGAGCCAGGUCUACAGGCCAGGAGUCCUGCUUGCUGGCUGGCUGGAAGGGCGGGUGGGGCAGCAAGCUGCUUCCUCUCUGAAACCCCAAGGAGCUCCUCGAGCCAUGGAGGCGAAAGGUGAGUUGGUCUCCCAGCCGUGGUUUCCAAGGCCUGUGGGGAUUGGAUGGAGCAGAGACCUGGACACACAGAGCUCCCUCCCCUCUGUCUGUGGAACUGGGGCCUGGCCUCUUGGGUUUCCCACAUGCAAAAUGGAACAUGGAGCAGGGAAGAAGGGCACACUUGAUGAUCCCUGCAGUCCUGCUUUUUUAAGUUUCAGACGCCUAGGUACUGAAAGACACCCCUGGAUCCUGGCACCCAGAGGGCACUUAAAUCAAGGGAGUACCACCUCUCCCAAGGCCUGCCAUCUGUAGCUGGAGGGCAAGGCUGGGCAGGGCUUCCCUUCACCAGUCAGCCUCUAACUCUGCAACAGCCAGCCUGCGCCCCUUGGCUCUUCUCCCUCCAAUUUUGCACUUGCUGUCCACUCCCCGGGGAUGUCCAGUGGGUCCAAAGCCCUCCAGAACCUGGCUCUUGACCUGGCUCUAAAAUUCUAGUGCUGUGGCCUUGAACCCAUCCCUUCCUCUUGCUCAGACCUGGGCUCCAAGGGAUGGUGUGAAAAGCAUGGGUUCGGGUGCUCCUAAGGCCCCAGCCCCCUUCAGCAGCCUCUGAGACCUCUUGGCCUUGGCCUGUGCUAUAGGCUGUGAUGGGGACCACCCCGUGGCUCCCUGGCCCUUGCCUGUAGCAGCUCUGAAGUCCCUCUCUAAUUUCUUUACACAGUGAUGCCCCUCAUCUGUUCACAAGCCUGGCUAUCCCCAAAGGCAAAGAUUCUGCAACCCUCCCUUGUCCUAAGAACCAGAAUGUUUCUGCUGCUCCCUACGCCCAUGACCGUCUGGCAUGCGGAUAAUCACAGGCAGGAAGGUGCUCCACCUGACAGAUGAGGGUAUGGAUGCCCUCACACCUCGAAGGAUUUAGGUCAGGGUCUCCGAGUU